rnacentral:rRNA from 1 species
UACGGAAGGCAGCAGUGGGGAAUAUUGCACAAUGGGCGCAAGCCUGAUGCAGCCAUGCCGCGUGUAUGAAAAAGGCCUUCGGGUUGUAAAGUACUUUCAGUCGUGAGGAAGGUGUUAAGGUUAAUAACCUUAGCAAUUGACGUUAGCGACAGAAGAAGCACCGGCUAACUCCGUGCCAGCAGCCGCGGUAAUACGGAGGGUGCGAGCGUUAAUCGGAAUUACUGGGCGUAAAGGGCACGCAGGCGGUUAAUUAAGUUGGAUGUGAAAUCCCCGGGCUUAACCUGGGAAUGGCAUUCAAGACUGGUUAGCUAGAGUCUUGUAGAGGGGGUAGAAUUCCAUGUGUAGCGGUGAAAUGCGUAGAGAUGUGGAGGAAUACCGGUGGCGAAGGCGGCCCCUGGACAAAGACUGACGCUCAUGUGCGAAGCGUGGGGAGCAAACGAGGAUUAGAUACC